rnacentral:rRNA from 1 species
AUGGGUAUUACAGAGGGCUGCGAAGGUGCGAGCUGGAGCGAAACUCAAAAAGGUACUCUUAGUCCGGAUUGCAGUCUGCAACUCGACUGCAUGAAGUCGGAAUCGCUAGUAAUCGCAGGUCAGAAUACUGCGGUGAAUACGUUCCCGGGUCUUGUACACACCGCCCGUCACACCAUGGGAGUGGGUUGCUCCAGAAGUAGAUAGCUUAACGAAUGGGCGUUUACCACGGAGUGAUUCAUGACUGGGGUGAAGUCGUAACAAGGUAGCCGUAGGGGAACCUGCGGCUGGAUCACCUCCUUAAC